rnacentral:rRNA from 1 species
UAUGUGUCACACGGGACUGCCGGUCUUAAGCCGGAGGAAGGUGGGGAUGACGUCAAGUCCUCAUCGGCCCUUAUGGGUAGGGCUUCACACGUCAUACAAUGGUCGGGACAGAGGGUUGCCAACCCGCGAGGGGGAGCCAAUCUCAGAAACCCGAUCGUAGUCCGGAUUGCAGGCUGCAACUCGCCUGCAUGAAGUCGGAAUCGCUAGUAAUCGCGGAUCAGCAUGCCGCGGUGAAUACGUUCCCGGGUCCUU